rnacentral:rRNA from 1 species
GAUGAACGCUGGCGGCGUGCAUAACACAUGCAAGUCGAGCGGUAUAUACUUAAGUGAAACUUCGGUCGAGUGAGAGUAUAGAGAGCGGCGGACGGGUGAGUAACGCGUAGGCAACCUGCCCCAUACAGAGGGAUAGCCUCGGGAAACCGGGAUUAAAACCUCAUAACGCCAAAAGUUCACAUGGACAUUUGGUCAAAGAUUUAUCGGUAUGGGAUGGGCCUGCGUCUGAUUAGCUAGUUGGUAAGGUAACGGCUUACCAAGGCAACGAUCAGUAGCCGACCUGAGAGGGUAAUCGGCCACAUUGGAACUGAGACACGGUCCAAACUCCUACGGGAGGCAGCAGUGGGGAAUAUUGCACAAUGGGCGAAAGCCUGAUGCAGCAACGCCGCGUGAGCGAUGAAGGCCUUUGGGUCGUAAAGCUCUGUCCUUGGGGAAGAAAAAAAUGACGGUACCCUUGGAGGAAGCCCCGGCUAACUACGUGCCAGCAGCCGCGGUAAUACGUAGGGGGCAAGCGUUAUCCGGAAUUAUUGGGCGUAAAGAGUGCGUAGGUGGUUUUGUAAGCGCGAGGUGAAAGGCUAUGGCUCAACCAUAGUAAGCCUUGCGAACUGUAAGACUUGAGUGCAGGAGAGGAAAGUGGAAUUCCUAGUGUAGCGGUGAAAUGCGUAGAUAUUAGGAGGAACACCAGUGGCGAAGGCGACUUUCUGGACUGUAACUGACACUGAGGCACGAAAGCGUGGGGAGCAAACA